ACUGACUACACCCUCUAUAUCCUCACUGAGCAGCUACGACGGUUGAAAGGCUCCGACGCCUCCUGGAAGAACGACCAGGAACCACCACCAGAGGCGUUAGACUUCAGUGAUGAUGAGGCAGAACAGAAGAUGAAAAAGAAGAAGAAGAAGGGGAAUGUUCAGAAGAGUGAAAGAGGACAGAGAGCUGACCAACAACCAGAUAGAGAUUCCGUCACCAGACCACAGAUGUCCCAGAGGCCUUUGCAACAGAGUCGUCCACCCCGCCGUGACAACUGGGGUCCCCCACCCCGAUACGAAGGGGCUCCGUACUACACACACCAGCCCCACUACCCCUACCCUCCCCCCUACCAGCCCCAGUCCUUCCCUCUCUAUCCUCCCCCUCCUCCCCCCACAUGUCCUUCCCCUGGUCCCCUCCCCCUCUCACCCCUACCACAACCUCCCCUUCUCUCACCUCCCCCCUCCUCCCCCACCGCCCACUGGCCCCUAUCCUCCUCAGUGAGGACACACACACACACACACACACACACACACACACACACACACACACACACACACACACAACUCGUGACUGGACACCUCACCUCCUUGGCACUCAUCAGCGUUGUUUGACCAAAUCAACACAUUAAAGUAUAUUUUUACUGUCUGCA